UCGAGCGGAUGAAGGGAGCUUGCUCCUGGAUUCAGCGGCGGACGGGUGAGUAAUGCCUAAGAAUCUGCCUGGUAGUGGGGGAUAACGUCCGGAAACGGGCGCUAAUACCGCAUACGUCCUGAGGGAGAAAGUGGGGGAUCUUCGGACCUCACGCUAUCAGAUGAGCCUAGGUCGGAUUAGCUAGUUGGUGGGGUAAAGGCCUACCAAGGCGACGAUCCGUAACUGGUCUGAGAGGAUGAUCAGUCACACUGGAACUGAGACACGGUCCAGACUCCUACGGGAGGCAGCAGUGGGGAAUAUUGGACAAUGGGCGAAAGCCUGAUCCAGCCAUGCCGCGUGUGUGAAGAAGGUCUUCGGAUUGUAAAGCACUUUAAGUUGGGAGGAAGGGCAGUAAGUUAAUACCUUGCUGUUUUGACGUUACCAACAGAAUAAGCACCGGCUAACUUCGUGCCAGCAGCCGCGGUAAUACGAAGGGUGCAAGCGUUAAUCGGAAUUACUGGGCGUAAAGCGCGCGUAGGUGGUUCAGCAAGUUGGAUGUGAAAUCCCCGGGCUCAACCUGGGAACUGCAUCCAACACUACUGAGCUAGAGUACGGUAGAGGGUGGUGGAAUUUCCUGUGUAGCGGUGAAAUGCGUAGAUAUAGGAAGGAACACCAGUGGCGAAGGCGACCACCUGGACUGAUACUGACACUGAGGUGCGAAAGCGUGGGGAGCAAACAGGAUU
rnacentral:rRNA from 1 species